rnacentral:rRNA from 1 species
GAUGAACGCUGACAGAAUGCUUAACACAUGCAAGUCUUUGGCGAAGCUGUGCUUGCACAGCCUAGCCAAGGCGGACGGGUGAGUAACGCGUAAGGAACUUGCCCUGCAGUCAGGUAUAACAGACGGAAACGACUGAUAAGACCUGGUAAAGUCAGGCGGACUCAUGUCCAGCCUGAUGAAAAGAGAUGCUGCGGGAGAGCCUUGCGUCCUAUUAGCUUGUUGGUGGGGUAACGGCCCACCAAGGCGGUGAUAGGUAGCCGGCCUGAGAGGGUGGACGGCCAAGAGGGGACUGAGAUACGGCCGUUACUCCUACGGGAGGCAGCAGUGGGGAAUAUUGGACAAUGGGGGCAACCCUGAUCCAGCAAUUCUGUGUGCACGAUGAAGGUUUUCGGAUUGUAAAGUGCUUUCAGCAGGGAAGAAAAAAAUGACGGUACCUGCAGAAGAAGCGACGGCUAAAUACGUG